GGAAAGAUUUUGUUCAUUUGUGGAUUUUUAUUUUCUUCAUCCAGUUUCUCAUUUAUACUCAGGGCAGAAGUCAUUUAAUCUGUUUGAUGACAUCAUGAUAUAAGUGGAACAAAUCAACAAGAAAUUCAUCCCUUUGUAAGACUGGUGUGAUGAAUCAUGCUCUGGAGCCUGAUUAUUCAAAGCUUUCAAUUGGCAGAACACAAGCAUGAUUAAAGACAGCUUUUCC
rnacentral:lncRNA from 1 species